rnacentral:lncRNA from 1 species
AUGCUGAGAUUUUUUUCCUAUUACUAUUAUGGAUCUUUGGGACAGUUUCACAAAAAACACAUAUGUAUAUGUGUAUGUCUGCUUACGGACUCCCUGGAUUUUCUACUUGGAAGUAGUACCGAGGAAGAUCUAACACAGUUGGAAGAAAAGGGCAUCUUUCAAACAAGAAGAUGGCUUUGGCUGCCCUUGUGGACCUGUGCUUCUCUGUCUGGGCACUGCCUGUUUCUGGAAGGUGUUUCCUCUCAGCCCGGAGUUAUAGGUACAAGAGCACGCAAGAGAGCAGACAGAGCAGGCUGUGAAUUGCAGAUGUCAUCUAACUAAUUCUCACAGCAUCCCUGGAAAGCAGGACAUGAAUGGGAAAUUGUUUCAUUCAUCUGUGUCUGGCAACGUUUAUGAAUUAUUAACAGGAGAAUGUGAAUUUCCCCAGGGGGAAAAAAAACUACACCGCAAAGGUAAGGGAAUUGUAAGGAAGAAUUAGCAGAUGUUAGAAAAGGGUGGAGUAGUAAAUAAUGAUGUGAAAUUCAAAUUUGAAGAAAGAAGAUUUUGAGAGAACCUGACAGAGGGGUCUUAUUGGGGGUGAAGCAGAAAUCUCGGAUGCUUUGAUGUGGAGAGAGAGGAAGAGGAUGGGCAAUUAUGAUAAUUCUUACACAGUUAGGCAUUCUUUACACAGAAAAGUUGCAGUUCCCUGAGACUGGUUGAAGACUCAAGUCCUGUUUUGUUGUUGUUGCUGUUUUUGAGACAAAGUCUCCUGUGUCACCCAGGCCAGAGUGCAAUGGUGCAAUCACCGCUCACUGCAGCCUCAACCUCCUGGCCGCAAGUUAUCCUCUCGUCUCAACCUCCUGAGUAGCCAGGACUACAGCUAUGUAUCACCAUGCCCAGUUAAUUUUUUAAAUUUUUUGUAGAGACAGGGUCUCACUGUGUUAUCCAGGCUGGUCUCAAACUCCUGGGCUCAAGCAAUCUACCCACCUUGGCCUCCCAAAGUGCUGGGAUUACAAGUGUGAGCCACUGCCCCUGGCCAAGUUCUGUUUUUAAUAGAAACACUUCCCUAUUUAUUAAAACAAUGGCUACCAUGCAGUAGUAGGUACUCAUGAAGCACCCGAGAGGCUUACUGCCUGUAGUCUUUUCAACAACUUGAUGACACCUCAUUCAUUAUUCUUGUCUAACAAUGAGGGCCUCAUUGCUGAAUGGCUUUUUUUUUUUUUUUUUUUUUUGGACAUGGUCUCCCUCUGUUGCCCAGGCUGGAGUGCAAUGGCCCGAUUUUGGCUCACUGCAACCUCUGCCUCCUGGACUCCAGCGAUCCUCCCAUCUUAGCCUCCUCCUGAGUACCUGAGAUUACAAGUGUGUGUCACCACACCCACCUAAUUUUUUGUAUUUUAGUAGAGACAGGGUUUCACCAUGUUGGCCAGGCUGGUCUCAAACUCCUGAUCUCAAAUGAUCCAUGCACCUCAGCCUUCCAAAGUGCUGGGAUUACAGGUGUGAGCCACCACACAUGGCCCUGAACGGCUUUCUGAAGUCACAGGGGUGGUAAAAGUCAGGGCCAGACAUCAGACCCACUCCUGCCUGCUGGCAAAGCCCCUGCUUGUGCCCGCGGCGUCACGCAGCCUUCUCUCGAGGCGGUGGGGUCGUAGCAAGAGGGAAACAAUGGUCACAUUUCUAAGGGGUGAAUGAGAAAAACUAAAGGUUUCUAAACCUUUGAAUCAAACAUAGGCAUUGUUCUGAGCAAAAGAAUGAGAUGAAGAAGAGAGAAAAUAUUCCAUGUGCAAUCAAAAUACCUUGUGUUACUCUUUCCUCCUUCAACUGCAAGGGCGUGGUGUGCAGUAAUUGUCUCUAAGGCCGUGUGUCAAUGGGGAGCCGGCGUGCUCAGGCAGUGUCUUCCCGUAGACUGUCCUCGUGAUGUCACCCCUCCCGGCAUCCCCAGUGCUCACCUGGUCACCAACAUGGUCGACAUUACUUGUCUUGGUCAGCCACUGUGCUGAGAGCAAGAAGGAACCCUCUCCCACCAGCAACCAACUCUUUUUUUUUAUUUUUUAUUUUUUAAGAUGGAGUCUCGCUCUGUCGCCCAGGCUGGAGUGCAGUGGCAAGAUCUCGGCUCACUGCAACCUCUGUCUCCUGGGUUCAAGUGAUUCUCCUUCCCCAGCCUCCUGAGUGGCUGGGAUUACAGGCAUGAGCAACCAUGUCUGGCUAAUUUUUGUAUUUUUUGGUAGAAACGGCAUUUCACCAUGUUGGCCAGACUAGUCUCAAACUCCUGACCUCAAGUGAUCUGCCCGCCUCAGCCUCCCAAAAUGCUGAGAUUACAGGCGUGAACCACCGUGCCUGGCCUGAUUCUUUUACAAAGAUAUUCCCAAUCUGUUUCUCACAAAGCCUCCAAGUAAGCACUCUGUGGACUCACAAAUUCAGGUAUCACAGUCUUCCUCUUCAGAGAGACUUGGCCCAAGCUGCCAAUGGGGUUGACUCAGAAGGCAACUCAAGUGUGUCCCUGCAUGUAGUAUCCACCAGCACCCCUUCCUGCAAAUGUCCCAUUCAGGUUUCUCCCAUCAGAAGAAGUGCUUCUCCUGAGCGCUGCCCUGCCCGGAGCUUCGGGGGUGGCUCUCACCUCAGAGUCUAGGUCCUGCUACAGGGCUUGACUCAUGUUCCUCCAUUGUCGUUUUGUGCACGCUCCUCAGGUCUUUAUGAAAAGCAGAACUUCCAGCAGCCUGUCUCUGCAGGCCUUAAGUUCAGAUAUGUGAAUCCCAACACUGACACUUGCUAGCUGCAAGAUUUGGGAAAAGUUACUUUAAAACAAACAAACAAACAACUUGUAAAGUCUUUUUUUUAUCUGUUCUAUGAGGAUACUGACAACUACCUGAAAAGCAACUUGAAUGGAAAACUUUGACUCAUUUUUUUCCAGCAGCCCCAUGAAGGACAAAGAGAUAAAGAACAAGAAGUCAAACUCGCUUGGGAGGUUUCUUUUAUAAACGAACUUUUAGAACGCACCUAUUCCAUUUUUACAGAUUCAGCCUGGUUUCAUGUGCCUCCAGCUCUUACAGUUGUGGAGAGUUUGAGGUUGAUGGAAAUGCUUUCACAGAGGAUUUUUGUAAUCUUCACAUAAUCCUGAGAAGUAGGUAGGUUUGCAUCUUAUUCUCACUUUUCAGAGGAGGAAACAGACUUAGAGAAUUUUGAAUUUUGUUUUUAAAGCAAUUUGCCUGGAAUCUCCCAGCUCCUAAGUAGAGCCAAUCCUGAAACCCACGUCUUCUGGCUCUAAUCCUCAGCCCUUCUCCCAGGAUCCACAGCACUGAGGUCACCGAUGACCCCCAUGAUAAUCUAAAUAAUGACUCUGAGGCUGGACAAGAUGCCAAAUCUUCAAAGAGAGAGUCUAUUUGAUCAUUCCAUUGCACCAGCAAAGUGGGUUUGAAAUCUGUAGAGAGAUUUCUUUUUCCCCAAUAAUAGCAGAUGAAACAAUACUGGUUACAGAACAUUCCAUUUCCUAAGCAUUCCCAUUUUAAGUCUAUGUCCCAGUCAUUAACAGGGCCAUACAUAGAUUCACCAUUUGAAGGAAGGAAUAGAAAAGCUGUCACAGAAACUUAAAACAGCCUAUAGCAGGAAAUGAGGAAAAAACACCAUAUAUUGUAAUUCUGUUUCUGUCUCCAAGGAGC